ACUGGAAAGGGAUUCUGUGGGUGCUGGGGGGAACUGGUCAUGCUGAGGAUACUGGGAGUGGCACAUGGGAAACUGGGAACACUGGGGAGGACUGAGAGCCCGGGGAGUGACAGGGACCUGGGGGUUUUGGGACCCCAUUGGGUCGGGCUGGGGUGUGUGGGAGGGGUCUGGGCUGGGUUAGGGUAUCACUGUCACUAUCACUGUCCCCGUCACUGUCACUGUCCCCAUCACUGUCGGGUGACAGGUGAUGAUUGGCAGCUCUGAGCGCUUAGGCUGAAAAAUUCCUGUGGGAAAAGGAAAUUCCGGCAGUGGAAGAUGGAGGCCACAGCUCAUCCAGCCCAUCGCUCACCUGCUCAGGCCCCCAUGGCAGGGAAGAGCCACAGCCUGGGGAAAUUCGCAUGCGAGGAAGGAGACAGAACUAGCAAACUGGGCAUUUCAAGGGUUUAAAGCUGCAUUUCAGGGCACUUCUACCCACACCCCGGCACCAAAUAUUUCCAACGGGAGCAGGCCCAGCGGGUAUGUAACGUGAAGAGGCUCUUUCACCUUACUUCAGCCUGCUAAAAGCAGGCAUCUUUUGGGCAUUUGAAGCAGCAGAAGUUUUGAAGACACCUUGAAGAAAACAAUAUUGAAUACAGGGAGUAUUUAAGUUAAUGAUUCUGGGCUGGGGGUUCAGGGGCGAUAAGAUGCUUUUAUAAUGACUCUUCUUCAUGGCUUUUUUUUUAGGAGGAUUGCAAUUUCCAGAAGUUCUAGAUCACGUCAAGUGCGAUGUUUCUGAUUCUCUCAGCAGAUUCAUCGUAACACAAAGGGAACCGCCCCCACAGCAGCUUUCCUUAGCAGCAGAUCGGCCUCUCGCACGGAUUCGCUUCGGAGAGAUAAGUCGAGGGCUGUGGUCACAGAGGGGAUCAAAACAGGGCGGUGGGGUAGGAUUCACACCGGUUAGGGGUUUUGAGUCAUGCGGAGGGGAAGGUUUGAGAAAUGGCCUCUGGGGCCACAGUGAGGGAAAGGCUCACUUUAGCUAACAAUGCUGAGGUGGGCAGGGCAGAGCAGUCCCAGGGUGGGUUGUCACUUGUCUC